CAUGAAGACCAUUAUCCAUACUGUAGCAGCAGAACAAUUUUUUCUCAAAACUGAUCAUUGUUGGAAACGCCUCAUAGAAUAAAUAUGUUGUUUCCUUUAUUCACAGAACUGUGUGUUAGAUCUGUGGGAAGGAAUUACAAGACAGCU